rnacentral:rRNA from 1 species
AUAAUGGGUCAGCGACUUAUAUUCUGUAGCAAGGUUAACCGAAUAGGGGAGCCGAAGGGAAACCGAGUCUUAACCGGGCGUUAAGUUGCAGGGUAUAGACCCGAAACCCGGUGAUCUAGCCAUGGGCAGGUUGAAGGUUGGGUAACACUAACUGGAGGACCGAACCGACUAAUGUUGAAAAAUUAGCGGAUGACUUGUGGCUGGGGGUGAAAGGCCAAUCAAACCGGGAGAUAGCUGGUUCUCCCCGAAAGCUAUUUAGGUAGCGCCUCGUGAAUUCAUCUCCGGGGGUAGAGCACUGUUUCGGCAAGGGGGUCAUCCCGACUUACCAACCCGAUGCAAACUGCGAAUACCGGAGAAUGUUAUCACGGGAGACACACGGCGGGUGCUAACGUCCGUCGUGAAGAGGGAAACAACCCAGACCGCCAGCUAAGGUCCCAAAGUCAUGGUUAAGUGGGAAACGAUGUGGGAAGGCCCAGACAGCCAGGAUGUUGGCUUAGAAGCAGCCAUCAUUUAAAGAAAGCGUAAUAGCUCACUGGUCGAGUCGGCCUGCGCGGAAGAUGUAACGGGGCUAAACCAUGCACCGAAGCUGCGGCAGCGACACUGUGUGUUGUUGGGUAGGGGAGCGUUCUGUAAGCCUGUGAAGGUGUGCUGUGAGGCAUGCUGGAGGUAUCAGAAGUGCGAAUGCUGACAUAAGUAACGAUAAAGCGGGUGAAAAGCCCGCUCGCCGGAAGACCAAGGGUUCCUGUCCAACGUUAAUCGGGGCAGGGUGAGUCGACCCCUAAGGCGAGGCCGAAAGGCGUAGUCGAUGGGAAACAGGUUAAUAUUCCUGUACUUGGUGUUACUGCGAAGGGGGGACGGAGAAGGCUAUGUUGGCCGGGCGACGGUUGUCCCGGUUUAAGCGUGUAGGCUGGUUUUCCAGGCAAAUCCGGAAAAUCAAGGCUGAGGCGUGAUGACGAGGCACUACGGUGCUGAAGCAACAAAUGCCCUGCUUCCAGGAAAAGCCUCUAAGCAUCAGGUAACAUCAAAUCGUACCCCAAACCGACACAGGUGGUCAGGUAGAGAAUACCAAGGCGCUUGAGAGAACUCGGGUGAAGGAACUAGGCAAAAUGGUGCCGUAACUUCGGGAGAAGGCACGCUGAUAUGUAGGUGAAGUCCCUCGCGGAUGGAGCUGAAAUCAGUCGAAGAUACCAGCUGGCUGCAACUGUUUAUUAAAAACACAGCACUGUGCAAACACGAAAGUGGACGUAUACGGUGUGACGCCUGCCCGGUGCCGGAAGGUUAAUUGAUGGGGUCAGCGCAAGCGAAGCUCUUGAUCGAAGCCCCGGUAAACGGCGGCCGUAACUAUAACGGUCCUAAGGUAGCGAAAUUCCUUGUCGGGUAAGUUCCGACCUGCACGAAUGGCGUAAUGAUGGCCAGGCUGUCUCCACCCGAGACUCAGUGAAAUUGAACUCGCUGUGAAGAUGCAGUGUACCCGCGGCAAGACGGAAAGACCCCGUGAACCUUUACUAUAGCUUGACACUGAACAUUGAGCCUUGAUGUGUAGGAUAGGUGGGAGGCUUUGAAGUGUGGACGCCAGUCUGCAUGGAGCCGACCUUGAAAUACCACCCUUUAAUGUUUGAUGUUCUAACGUGGACCCGUGAUCCGGGUUGCGGACAGUGUCUGGUGGGUAGUUUGACUGGGGCGGUCUCCUCCUAAAGAGUAACGGAGGAGCACGAAGGUUGGCUAAUCCUGGUCGGACAUCAGGAGGUUAGUGCAAUGGCAUAAGCCAGCUUGACUGCGAGCGUGACGGCGCGAGCAGGUGCGAAAGCAGGUCAUAGUGAUCCGGUGGUUCUGAAUGGAAGGGCCAUCGCUCAACGGAUAAAAGGUACUCCGGGGAUAACAGGCUGAUACCGCCCAAGAGUUCAUAUCGACGGCGGUGUUUGGCACCUCGAUGUCGGCUCAUCACAUCCUGGGGCUGAAGUAGGUCCCAAGGGUAUGGCUGUUCGCCAUUUAAAGUGGUACGCGAGCUGGGUUUAGAACGUCGUGAGACAGUUCGGUCCCUAUCUGCCGUGGGCGCUGGAGAACUGAGGGGGGCUGCUCCUAGUACGAGAGGACCGGAGUGGACGCAUCACUGGUGUUCGGGUUGUCAUGCCAAUGGCACUGCCCGGUAGCUAAAUGCGGAAGAGAUAAGUGCUGAAAGCAUCUAAGCACGAAACUUGCCCCGAGAUGAGUUCUCCCUGACCCUUUAAGGGUCCUGAAGGAACGUUGAAGACGACGACGUUGAUAGGCCGGGUGUGUAAGCGCAGCGAUGCGUUGAGCUAACCGGUACUAAUGAACCGUGAGGCUUAACCUUACAACGCCGAAGGUGUUU